CUCAUAGCGUAUAUUUAGGUUGUUGCAGUUAAAAAGCUCGUAGUCGGAUUUUGGCUGAGAACGGUCGGUCCGCCGUUAGGUGUGCACUGACUGGUCUCAGCUUCCUGGUGAGGAGGUGUGCUUCAUCGCCACUUAGUCACCGUGGUUACUUUGAAAAAAUUAGAGUGUUCAAAGCGGGCUUACGCUUGAAUAUAUUAGCAUGGAAUAACACCAUAGGACUCCUGUCCUAUUUCGUUGGUCUCGGGACGGGAGUAAUGAUUAAGAGGAACAGUUGGGGGCAUUCGUAUUUCAUUGUCAGAGGUGAAAUUCUUGGAUUUAUGAAAGACGAACUUCUGCGAAAGCAUUUGCCAAGGAUGUUUUCAUUGAUCAAGAACGAAAGUUGGGGGCUCGAAGAUGAUUAGAUACCAUCCUAGUCUCAACCAUAAACGAUGCCGACUAGGGAUUGGCGGAUGUUAAUUGAUGACUUCGCCAGCACCUUAUGAGAAAUCAAAGUUUUUGGGUUCCGGGGGGAGUAUGGUCGCAAGGCUGAAACUUAAAGGAAUUGACGGAAGGGCACCACCAGGCGUGGAGCCUGCGGCUUAAUUUGACUCAACACGGGGAAACUUACCAGGUCCAGACAUAGUAAGGAUUGACAGAUUGAGAGCUCUUUCUUGAUUCUAUGG
rnacentral:rRNA from 1 species